AAGACUUUGCAAACCAAACCAGUAACUCUACAUCUAUGUGAACAACAAAAGACGACUGCUUCUUAGCACUGCAAAACAAUUCGCCUGUGUAUUAUGUAUUCUUCGUACAUGAAUGAUGUUCGAGUUAUUGAAACUUUCCUUCAUGAUCUUGAUAUCAUCUAAAUAACUUGAAAAAAACUGGUCAUUCUUUUGGUUCUAAAACUAUCUUUACUAAUUAAGAACAAUCCGUUGCAAAUAUGAUUUGAAACUGACGUAAAUUUCGCAUACAUUCCAUUGCCCAAAUAUAAGCGCUUCCACUUCCGCGUGAAGGGGUGACAGACUUGCCCUUGUGUUCCUUGCGCCCAUCAAACCAUCAAAACCUUCCAAAGUGCUAUACCAUCCUUGUCCUAAAAAAAUCUCCUCAUUUUUCCAUGAGCAUCCAUAAAGCACCAUCUACUUGGAAUGAUUGGUAGAUUUGUGGCCCCAACCUCUAUAUUUUGGGAAACCCUUUGUGCCAAUGAAACCUGUGCUUCAGUCCACAAUAGAGACUCUGUUUCUGUCAAUUUUAAAGUGUCUCUAGGAUCAAUAUAUAUAUUACUAAAAACUUAAUUAUUUCUUUCCUUCCAAAUAUACCAUAAUAUCCAAGCAAAUUGAUAAUCCUCCAUUUGUGGAACAACUCUCCAAAACAAAUGAUCCAUAUUCGCGAAAAGUGAUAGAUUAGAGAAAACAUCUGGAUUUGAUGGGAUGUUUGAGAGUGUCCAAACUUGUAUCACCGAUGGACAUUCAAAAAACACAUGGUUUAUUGAUUCCUCCCGUGCUCCAGACCUUGCACAGCAAAUAUCCCCUUGCAUCCCCUUGCUUGCAAGUUUUUUUUAACUGCAAUGCAUCAUGAUAUUAUUUUCCAUAAGAAAUGCUUCAUUUUUGGUGGACAUCUUAUUUUCAAGCAAAACGCCUUCAAAAUAUCAACUGAAGGACCAAAAACUGGUAUGGUUUAUCCUUGUCAGGGUAGACACGUUCUACUUGGUACGCAAAUUUCACCAUGUAUUUUCCAUUAUUUGUGAAAUGGCAUCCGUCUUUGUCAACCAGCUGUAUCCGACUCAAAGGGAUAUUUUCUAUGACUCAAAAUAAAUUUAUGAUAUUUUAAUUUUAAUCAACAACUGGUUUAUAAAUUCAGCUUUAAUUAUGAAUUUUCACUGCCAACUAGAUUUUGAUCCUCGAUUUGAAAAUGCAUGAUUAAAUUUUAGUCAAUAACAAUUUUAUUUAAAAGAAAUUAUAAUUAUUUUUCCUAAUUUAUGUGUUUUUAAAAUGAUUUUAAUAUUUGUGUAGAUGGUUUAAUUUAACAAGUUGUAUAGAUUUUUUUUCUGGUCAUCAACAUAUACAGAUUCAGAUUAACUUUGCAAACCAAGCUGGUAACUCUGCAUCCAUGUGAACGAUGAAAGACAAUUGUUUUCUGAUCCUGCGUGCUAGACUUCCCGUCCUUAAAUUUUCCGUCCGAGGUACAUGAAUGAUCUCUGAGUUGAGGAAACUUUCUUUCAGACUCUUGAUAUCUACCAAAUAACUUGUAAAUGCUGGCAAUUCGUCUGGUUUUGAAACCAUCUUCACCGAUUGAGAACAAUUCGUUGCAAACGUUACUUGAAACUAACGUAAAUUUCUCAUACACUCCAUUGUCCAUAUUAAUGUUUCCACCUCCGAGUGAAGAGGUGAGAGACUUGCGCGAUGGUUCCUUGCUCCCAUCAGUCCAUCAAGUUGUAUAGAUAGACUGAAGUUUGGGGAUUUGAAGAGAAUUUUGACGUAUGAUAUGUGAUUUUUGAAUCUAAAUAUUUUAAGUUAGAUGAAAACUAAUUUAUUUAAAAUUUCAUUUUCAAUAUUUUGUUGUUAUUUAAUUUUUUCAUCUCAACCUUGACACAAAGUAGUAAAUGAAUUUGACCCGUAUUUUUAAAGCGCAUGGUUAUUUAGUUGACAUAAUUUUACUUAACAUAAUUUAUAUUUUUGUAAGUGAUUUCUUACUUUAAAUAUUUUUAUGUAAUUUAUAUUUAAGUUUGGGUACAUGAUUAAAUUAAAUAAUUUUUCUUAAUUAUGUUUAAUUUUGGGUUUUAAAGAGAAUGAUUGUGAAAGAUAGAAGAACAGAGUAUAUUUUUACUGAAUAAUACUUUAUUUUCCUUAACCUCCUUCAGUGUUUUACAACAUGGUUUUAUAGUGAUCUCAUGAAUACCCUAGACUGUGGCCUUUGUCCUAUUUGAUACCGUUGUCUCACACAGCUGUAAAGCCAUCUUGUCCUUCUGGUAUAGAUAAGAGAGUAUCAAAUUGGUUAUGGAUAGGCACAGUCAUCAUCGUACACUUCUUCUUUUCACCAUAUGACCGUUGCCUACUUGUGGGCUUUGUCGCUUCUACAUUGAUAUCAUGGACUGAGCGCAGGUCCUUAUCUGCUUCCUUGUUGUCUACACUAACAAUGAUGACUGUGCUAUAUAAAAUUUAAUUCAAAAUAUGUACAAAUUAUAUUAUAGAUAAUUUCUUAUAUUUUUCUAAUUUUUGAACAAUAUAUAUUUUUAGUUUGGUUACAUUUGUAGAACAUUAAUUUUUCAGUUUCGUUACAUUUGUAGGCUUGAUCAGGGACUAGAAUCAGUAAACGGUCGUGUUAUUGGGUGUAGCGAGAAUUUGCAAGUUGAAAAAUUAAUCAUACUUUUACUGGACCUCAACGCUUUUAUUUAUAGAAGUUACAAACUUUCUUAUACUUUAGCUUCUUCCUCUGCUAUUGACUAGUGGAAAUCUAGACAGAGAAGAGUGUCCUCACAACCUCCAGCUUGUUACGUAGGUAGUCGUGAAUGCUGUCCAUCUUGUAAAGUUUGAGGUUGUCUCCAUUUCGGUAAAGAAUGUAAUCGGAGAUUGUGUUUACACCUUAUCGUACACCUUUUUUCUCUUCGCUGGUCAGUGGACCAUUGAAGUUGAUGGGCGGAGGAGGAGGUGGUAGUGUGAGAGAAGGAAAGGCCAACAGCUUGAUUGUCUCUAUCAGAAGUUCGUUUGGAUGUUGUGAGGAACAGGAUGAACUAAUAGUGGUUUUCAGAUUCUAAGAGCGGCUUUUCAUUCUUAAAUAAUUUAUAUGGGUUGUCAGUCGUUUUGAGGAGAAUGUCAAAAUGCAUUAAAGGUCUUUUAGGGUGUUUGACCAACCUUCUUUGGUUUUGGUGUCUUUUUGCAUGGGGAGUAGAACUUGAAUUUUCUCGGAAAGGUGCGUUCCUGAGUUUGUAUGACGCAAAGGUUUUACUGGGGGAAGGUGGCUGUGUUCGAUCUUUAGGUGCCCACGUACCUCGCCGAGGGAUCAAGCCUAACAUAGCUAUAUUGUUUUAUGUAUGAUUAUAUGUCGUGAUUUUAAUGGUCGUGUUAUUGGGUGUAGCGAGAAUUUAUGAGUUGAAAAAUUAAUCAUACUUUUAUUGGAUCUUGAUAUCACUCAAAUUACAUAAGUUAUUUAUACUCUUUCAAAUAAGAGGUCGAACUGUAUUACUUAGGGAUCGAAUCCACAUGGAGAUAUGACACACAAUAGAUCUAAACAAUUUAUGAUUAAGCUAGACAAGUAUUUGUAAUAUAAAUUGCAGUAGUGAGCAAGGCCGUUGCUCGGUUGGUUGAUUGAGGUUUUGAACAGUUAUGAAAAGUGUUUAGGAUUCUAUUCAGACAAUCAGGAUUAUAGUAGUAUAGAGACUAAGGUUGUAUAUUAAAUAUUCUAGAACUCAAACUAAGGAAUAAUCUAUCAACUUCUGUUUUUUUAUAUUAUCUAUUGUCUAGAUCUAAGACCUCAACUGUCGUUUGUUGGUCUUGAGAAAGUGUCGAUCGAUAAACCUUUCAGUUGAUCGAUGCAACUGUGGAGUUGUCCAUCGACGUCCCUUCUAGCAAGCUUUAGCGAGCAGGUUUGAACGUGUUCACUAGGUUUAACUUAAUCAGCUGUCGCUUGUUUCUAGAAAUCCUAGCACAAUAUGAAUUAGAUCAGACAAAGGAUCAUGCUUCCGCUUGCGUCCAAUUAUCUAAGAACAUGGUCCUAGUUAGCUACUCUAGAACACAAGCAUUCUAAUUUUGUUCUUAUUUGUCAUGAUAUUUCUUAGUACAGCUCAGCAUUCUUCUGUGGAAUGACAUUUUCGGUUGUGGAAGGAGAAAAAUUUACUAGGGUGAUGAGUGGAUGGUUUGUUCUUGCUCAGGCUGUUUACUACAAAAGAAUGUUGUCCUUUGGUGGUGGCUUCCUUCGGAUGAGGCAGUUUCUUGUUUGGGGAUCGUAGAGUAUCCCAAGAUAUUUAAGGGAUUCGAUGCCCUCUGCGGCAAGCUUGUCUUUUUGGCCACUACUGAUUUGCUUUGUUCUUUAUCAGUGAGCAAGUUAUCAGUCUCAUUGCUAGAUUCAGAUCCGGGAAGAUCGACAGCAUCGACUUGUGGUUCGGUGAGAGAGGGAUCCAUUGGCUGCUAUCAAACAUUAGAUCGGGUUCAUAGAAAGGAUGCGUUUUUGUAAUCUUCCCACAUACGCUGCCAAAAUGUGAAUCCUAAACCCGCACUAAGUAUUUAUGGUGUGUUUGUAAUCGAUUAGGAAGAAAGAAAUUUUGCACCUUUGUGACACCCCCUGUAAUAACCCUAAAUGAGCCAAUAAAUUUUUGGUCGAGAAAAAUCCCGCUUGGCCAGUUUUUAGUUGGUUCUAUCAGGAUUAAUAAAAGUAAAAAUCGACCCGGUAAAGUAAUUUCUCGACGGGACUGUCUUGUAGUCGAAAGAUCUUUCCUUGAUAGUUUUGGUCCAGUCUUAAAUAUUUGGUCAAAUUAUUAAACUGGACUAGAUUUUUCGAGGGCAAGACGAGAGCCAAAGAUGAUGGAAACUGCUUCAUGAGAGGGAAAUGACAGUAUGGUGUAGAUGAUGAAACAGGUUGCCCGCUGUCUGCUCUCAGCCAAGCUUUGUUACGAGCUAAACCCUCAUAUGAAGUAACCACAGGUUGUAUUUAACCCUUCUCCAGCUGCUUCCCACGUCCGGAAACCUAGAGAAAAAUCAAGAGAAUUUAGAGAGAAAGAGAAAAAGAGAGAAAGAAGAACAGAAAAUGAGUGAGAAAAAUUCAGGAAAAUAAAUCAAGAAAAUUGUUGGUGAUCUAAUCUUCAACCCUUUCUCAGUUUGUUGCUUUGAGAAAGAUUAGAAGUCCAGCCGCAAGCUUGCCUUAAAGAGGAGAACCAUCUGAUAAGGCUUUAGGUAUCCAAUCAGUUUCAAGACUAAUCUUUUAUGUGAGUCUAGAUGGAUGUUGAGUUAGAUCAUGAUUAAAUUAAAGUAAAUGAUGGAUGUUGUAAACACUUACUUGAAGAUUUAAUCAAAAUGUUAAAGUGAGGUUAAUUUUAAUCUUAGUACUUGUUCUCAACUACUAAUAUUAAUCAAGGAUUAAUUUUUGUUUAAUUAAGAAUUAAUCUUGGAUUAAUUAAAGAUUAAUAUAAGAUUAAUUAUGAAUUAAUCUGAGAUUAAUUAAGGAAUAAUUAUGGAUAUUUCGGGAAUAAUCAUAGAAGUGAAAAUCAUGUAAGGUCUUAUUAUAUUCAAUAUCCCUAAAGUCCCCGCAUUACCGUGACUUGGUCAUGCGAACGGAACAAGGUCAUGAAGACAUGAUGAUAGGGUAGUUUCCUGGAGACCGUGUACUGCAUGAUGAUGCAGUGUCGGAUUGUUCAUACCAGACAUUCGACAAUGAUGGUGAUGCUAACUCACUAGUCUCGGUUAGCCUUAGUGGUUUCUCGGGUCUAGUUUAUAUAUUGUAUUAUAUGAGUAUGGUAACGGGUGGGUGUUGUGGAAGUGAUUUUUAAAAUAAGAAUUCACAAUGAUGAUUGAUAUUAAAGGAUAGUACUAGUACAUGCAUGGUCAUGUAUAUGCAUUUGGUAAUUGUUUAGUUUACUAUUGAUUGUGUUGUGAUUCAAGAUUCACUGAGUAAACUAGUUGCUCACGACUCAUUUGUGUGUGCAGGUAACCCUUAGGUGGGAGACACUUUACUCUUUUGGAUGGAAGAAGCGGCCAACCACCGCUAGUAUUUUGUUGUUCUUGCAACGUACCUUUUGAUGUAUAUUUACUUAAAACGUUGUUGGGCGAUAGGCCGUAGGAUAAAACUAUAGUACUUUGUAAGAUGUUUAAAGUAAAUAAAUAAUGUAUAAAAGAUGUUUAUAAAUCACGAGUUCUCAAAUAUAUUAGUCCUUGUUCGGGAUGAACUAACUAUCGAAUAUUUCUUUAUCAGGUUGAAAAACCUAGUGAUAUCCGAUAGGAGCGUAUGUGUUCUUUGGUUGUUGGUCUAAGGCGAUCAGAUAUAUUCCGAGAACCUUGGGUCGACCAUCGGGGAAUAUCGACCGUGUAAUUUCUGGUUAUCUACGAUCGGGGUGUCACAAGGGUGGUAUUAAGUUGCAAGUUCUCUGGUCGCUGCGGCUAGGCCAUAUUCCGAUCUGGUAUAUGCUUACGCAACAUCGAUACAUUAAAUACCGGAUGCAUAUGCAUAUCGGGUGGAAGUUCUAGUCUAUAGGCAACUUCUCCAACUCUAGAAACAAUUGGGUAUGGCCCAAUGUAACGAGUAGCUAACUUCCAAAUUUUUCCAAACCUAUCCUGAAGGUCCUUUGCGGAUAGGCGAACGUCGUAUCAAGAAAUUGAAGAAAAAGGAAAUUUUGCAAGUUCAAGUAUUUUGGAGAAAGCGACAGAGAGUUGUUAUAACAUGGGAGGAUGAAAUAAGUUUGGAACUGAUUACCCAGAACUCUUCUCAAAUACCCCAGUCGUCCAGUAAAGGGUGUACACUUGUAUUUUGAGAAUUCGGGAACGAAUUCUUUUGAGGGGGGGAAGAGUGUAAUAACCCUCACGAGCCAAUAAAUUUUUGGUAGAGAAAAAUUCUGCUCGACCAGUUUUUAGUUGGUUCGACCAUGAUUAAUAAAAUUAAAAAUUGACCCGGUAGAGCAAUUUCUCGAUGGGACUGUCUUGUGGUCGAAAGACCUUCCCUUGAUAAUUUUAGUCGAGUCUUAAAUAUUUGGUCGAAUUUUUAUUAAACUGGACGAUAUUUUCCAAGGGCAAGACGAGAGCCAAAGACAAGGAAUAUUUGGUUGACAAAUGAUUUAAAACGAUAGACCAACUUCCAAAUAAUUUUUGAACUGAGUUAUGUCUUCCACCAUCCUGUUUGUUCACUUAUUCUGUCCCGUGACUUCCACAUGCCUGCUUGCCUAGCUUCUUCAGUAACAAUACAUGACAGUCACAAGCUGCGUGUGUGCUUGCUUUCCCUUUUUAUAAUUUAUGAUUGGCUGGAAACUGCUUCAUGAGAGGAAAAGGACAAUAUGGUGUAUGUUGGGGUCAAAAUCGGUUACGAUGGAAUCAACGUCGAAAACUUCACCGGAAAUGUUCUUUUUGAAAAGAGAGAUAAAAUUCAAAAUAUAAGAGAAGGGGGAACACCUAAAUCGAGUUUCGUAACAAUUCUGAAAAGGAUUCACACAAUAAGUCUUCAAGAAAGGUUAGUCAAAGCUUCAGGCAACGGAUCCACACCCAUCGUCCAACUCGCCGAAGGGGCGAGUUGGACCGGAUGCACCGACCAACUCGCCCGUUCGGCGAGUUGGAUCAGUCCAACUCGCUGAAUGGGCGAGUUGGAUCGAGAAAACCGUCCAACUCGCCGAGCAAGCGAGUUGGAUCGACCGAGCCGUCAUAUUCGCCCGUUAGACAAGUUGGAUCAAUCAGUCUGCCUUUGUCCCGUCCUCGUAGCUCUCCCCUUCGGGAUUAGAUUGAACCUGCUCUUGUUUCAUCUCGAUCGGAGUCACCGUUGGAACUUUACAAUUAAAAAACCUCCAGAACUCGUUCUCUCGAUUAACAUUCGGAUUGAUCGUAUAAAACGGCAACGGUUAGCUGAACACCUCGAAUUGCCUACGCUAUACGAGGAAUUUGAAUGUUCUUCGGAAUCGACGUCUUUUCGAAAGCGCUCUUUUUGUAAAAUCGUAAAAAUGCAUAAGUCAGAAAACGGCCCGCAUGGGCCCAAAACACGACUAAGAGCCCACUUACAAUUUUAUACAACAUCAAGCCCAAUCGUUAUGACGGUUUACAUCUUGUUAUGCAGGAGAAGAUAAUUGUCAAGUUCGGAGGAUAAAUGUGAAGUUUCCGAAGAUAAAUACAAAGAUCGAAGAAAAAUGGAAUAUAUCCGCGAAGCGAUAAACUCGACCGAUGGCAGAAAAGGAAAGAGCAAACCGCCUCUAUGAGGAGUAUUUAAAGACUUCGAGGUUUAAGAGGCAAAGAAACAAUUAUUUUUACUCUUAGAACUCUCUGCACUUAGAAACCUUUAGGCAUUAUUCCCAACAUGUUCUGUUUUUAGGACUGGCACUCGAUUACUAGACGAACUCGUCCAGUCAGUUCGAUCUCUUGUUCUAUUCUUUCAAUCGAACUACGUUCGGUAUGAUCUUCGAAAAGGGUACGUAGGCAGCCUUUCACAAGGUUCAGUCCGAAAUCAAAUCAAAAUCUUUUUCGUGUCCUUUUCGUCUUUUGUUAUCGAGUUGCGACUCAACAAGGUUUAAGGUUUUAGGUUACAAGUACUAUGUAACUCGCUGACAGCUCUUGCGGCCAAAGCUUUUAAUCAUCUUUGUAAUGAUCGCAACGCUCAUACGCAGAUUCGAAAUAAGAUCAACUUUUCUUAAACUCAUUUAUUGUCUUUACUUAUUUUCCGCAUUUGUUUGGUCACUUGCCGUUGGCUCUGACAGAGAAUCCGAGACCUCAGGGAAAGUUAGGGUUUACUGGCUUUACUCCGAUUACAUAAAUUGACAGUGCAAAUUUCGGUUCCCACAGUUUGGCGCUAGAAGGACGGGGGGGGGGGGGGGUACGGAUUAUUCUAACUUAUAGCCGCAAAACGGUUUAUCAAAAUGAUGUCUGGAAA